rnacentral:rRNA from 1 species
GACGAACGCUGGCGGCGUGCUUAACACAUGCAAGUCGAACGGAAAGGCCCUGCUUUUGUGGGGUGCUCGAGUGGCGAACGGGUGAGUAACACGUGAGUAACCUGCCCUUGACUUUGGGAUAACUUCAGGAAACUGGGGCUAAUACCGGAUAGGAGCUCCUGCUGCAUGGUGGGGGUUGGAAAGUUUCGGCGGUUGGGGAUGGACUCGCGGCUUAUCAGCUUGUUGGUGGGGUAGUGGCUUACCAAGGCUUUGACGGGUAGCCGGCCUGAGAGGGUGACCGGCCACAUUGGGACUGAGAUACGGCCCAGACUCCUACGGGAGGCAGCAGUGGGGAAUAUUGCACAAUGGGCGGAAGCCUGAUGCAGCAACGCCGCGUGCGGGAUGACGGCCUUCGGGUUGUAAACCGCUUUCGCCUGUGACGAAGCGUGAGUGACGGUAAUGGGUAAAGAAGCACCGGCUAACUACGUGCCAGCAGCCGCGGUGAUACGUAGGGUGCGAGCGUUGUCCGGAUUUAUUGGGCGUAAAGGGCUCGUAGGUGGUUGAUCGCGUCGGAAGUGUAAUCUUGGGGCUUAACCCUGAGCGUGCUUUCGAUACGGGUUGACUUGAGGAAGGUAGGGGAGAAUGGAAUUCCUGGUGGAGCGGUGGAAUGCGCAGAUAUCAGGAGGAACACCAGUGGCGAAGGCGGUUCUCUGGGCCUUUCCUGACGCUGAGGAGCGAAAGCGUGGGGAGCGAACAGGCUUAGAUACCCUGGUAGUCCACGCUGUAAACGGUGGGUACUAGGUGUGGGGUCCAUUCCACGGGUUCCGUGCCGUAGCUAACGCUUUAAGUACCCCGCCUGGGGAGUACGGCCGCAAGGCUAAAACUCAAAGGAAUUGACGGGGCCCCGCACAAGCGGCGGAGCAUGCGGAUUAAUUCGAUGCAACGCGUAGAACCUUACCUGGGUUUGACAUGGGUCGGGAGCGCUCAGAGAUGGGUGUGCCUCUUUUGGGGUCGGUUCACAGGUGGUGCAUGGCUGUCGUCAGCUCGUGUCGUGAGAUGUUGGGUUAAGUCCCGCAACGAGCGCAACCCUUGUUCACUGUUGCCAGCACGUUAUGGUGGGGACUCAGUGGAGACCGCCGGGGUCAACUCGGAGGAAGGUGGGGAUGACGUCAAGUCAUCAUGCCCCUUAUGUCCAGGGCUUCACGCAUGCUACAAUGGCUGGUACAGAGAGUGGCGAGCCUGUGAGGGUGAGCGAAUCUCGGAAAGCCGGUCUCAGUUCGGAUUGGGGUCUGCAACUCGACCUCAUGAAGUCGGAGUCGCUAGUAAUCGCAGAUCAGCAACGCUGCGGUGAAUACGUUCCCGGGGCU